GCUUGCUGGAUGCUGACGAGCGGCGGACGGGUGAGUAAUGCAUAGGAAUCUGCCCGAUAGUGGGGGAUAACCUGGGGAAACCCAGGCUAAUACCGCAUACGUCCUACGGGAGAAAGGGGGCUCCGGCUCCCGCUAUGGGAUGAGCCUAUGUCGGAUUAGCUGGUUGGUGAGGUAACGGCUCACCAAGGCCACGAUCCGUAGCUGGUCUGAGAGGAUGAUCAGCCACAUCGGGACUGAGACACGGCCCGAACUCCUACGGGAGGCAGCAGUGGGGAAUAUUGGACAAUGGGGGAAACCCUGAUCCAGCCAUGCCGCGUGUGUGAAGAAGGCCCUCGGGUUGUAAAGCACUUUCAGCGAGGAAGAACGCCUAGCGGUUAAUACCCGCUAGGAAAGACAUCACUCGCAGAAGAAGCACCGGCUAACUCCGUGCCAGCAGCCGCGGUAAUACGGAGGGUGCAAGCGUUAAUCGGAAUUACUGGGCGUAAAGCGCGCGUAGGUGGCUUGAUAAGCCGGUUGUGAAAGCCCCGGGCUCAACCUGGGAACGGCAUCCGGAACUGUCAAGCUAGAGUGCAGGAGAGGAAGGUAGAAUUCCCGGUGUAGCGGUGAAAUGCGUAGAGAUCGGGAGGAAUACCAGUGGCGAAGGCGGCCUUCUGGACUGACACUGACACUGAGGUGCGAAAGCGUGGGUAGCAGACAGGAUUAGAUACCCUGGUAGUCCACGCCGUAAACGAUGUCGACCAGCCGUUGGGUGCCUAGCGCACUUUGUGGCGAAGUUAACGCGAUAAGUCGACCGCCUGGGGAGUACGGCCGCAAGGUUAAAACUCACAUGAAUUGACGGGGGCCCGCACAAGCGGUGGAGCAUGUGCUU
rnacentral:rRNA from 1 species